GUAGGGGGCAAGCGUUAUCCGGAUUUACUGGGUGUAAAGGGAGCGUAGACGGUGUGGCAAGUCUGAUGUGAAAGGCAUGGGCUCAACCUGUGGACUGCAUUGGAAACUGUCAUACUUGAGUGCCGGAGGGGUAAGCGGAAUUUCUUGUGUAGCGGUGAAAUGCGUAGAUAUAAGGAAGAACACCAGUGGCGAAGGCGGUCUACUGGACAGUAACUGACGCUGAGGCGCGAGAGCGUGGGGAGCAAACAGGAUUAGAUACCCUGGUAGUCCACGCUGUAAACGAUGAAUACUAGGUGUGGGGGGACUGACCCCUUCCGUGCCGCAGUUAACACAAUAAGUAUUCCACCUGGGGAGU
rnacentral:rRNA from 1 species